GCCUGGGUGGCUCAGUCGGUUAAGCGUCCGACUUCGGCUCAGGUCACGAUCUCGCGGUCCGUGGGUUCGAGCCCCGCAUCGGGCU
rfam:Felis catus isolate Cinnamon breed Abyssinian chromosome X, whole genome shotgun sequence.